rnacentral:rRNA from 1 species
CCUACGGGUGGCAGCAGUGGGGAAUCUUGCUCAAUGGACGAAAGUCUGACGCAGCGACGCCGCGUGAGGGAUGAAGGUCUUCUGAUCGUAAACCUCUGUUUGUAGGGAAGUACGAUCACGGUCGUAAUCAGCAUUGAUUUGACGGUACCUACAAAGAACGCCCCGGCUAACUCCGUGCCAGCAGCCGCGGUAAUACGGAGGUUGCGUGCGUUAAUCGGAUUUGUUGGGCGUAAAGCGAGCGUAGGCGGUAUGUGAAGUCUGAGGUGAAAGCCUGCGGCUCAACCGGAGAAUUGCAUCUGAGACUGUUAGGCUAGAGAGCAGUUGAGGUAGGCGGAAUGUAAGGUGUAGCGGUGGAAUGCUUAGAGAUCAUGCAGAACACCGAUUGCGAAGGCAGCUUACUAAUCUGCUACUGACGUUGAGGCACGAAAGCGUGGGGAGCAAACAGGAUUAGAUACCCUUGUAGUC